rnacentral:rRNA from 1 species
UACGGAGGGAGCUAGCGUUGUCGGAAUUACUGGGCGUAAAGCGCGCGUAGGCGGCUUUGUAAGUUAGAGGUGAAAGCCCGGAGCUCAACUCCGGAACUGCCUUUAAAACUGCAUCGCUUGAAUCCGGGAGAGGUGAGUGGAAUUCCGAGUGUAGAGGUGAAAUUCGUAGAUAUUCGGAAGAACACCAGUGGCGAAGGCGGCUCACUGGACCGGGUAUUGACGCUGAGGUGCGAAAGCGUGGGGAGCAAACAGG